GUGUUUUUACCUUUCAGGGGCUGGAAACCAGCAUACCUCAACACUGUUCGAAAAUCUGAUGGCACGAGUCCUCACCAGAUAUAAAGUACCAUGUCUCCAAAUUUGCAGAAUCACAGGAUGGUUGAGGUUCGAAGGGUUGAAAACAAAUUCUUGAGGAAUGGCUGUUGCUGCCUACUGAAUUGUCUACAAAGACAUAAUAUUUUAUUUUCACGAUGAACCGUGUUUAGAACCAAUAGAGGAAAAAAACAUCAAGAUUCUGUCACCUGUUAUUAGCCACUCACAUGCUGGAGCAGGGGAAAGGUGUGAAGAGGAAGAAGGAGCAGCAGAGAGGAGCUGAUACGGACUGACCACAGCCUCUGUCCCCCAUCCCCUGCUCUCCUUGGGCUGGGGAAGGUAGAGGAGUACAGAAUGAAGGACUGAAGUUGAGCCUGGGUAAGGGUGAGAAAGUGUUAUUUUAUUUAUUUUUUUUUUUUACUUUGCUUCUCACUACCCAAACCUUAUUUUAAUUGGCAGUGAAUUAAAUUAGUUUUCCCCAAGUCAAGUCUGUUUUGCCCGUGAUGGAAAUUGAUAAGGGACUUCUUUGUCUAUCUUGCCCCUUGACCUUUUCUGUUUUAUUUUCUCACCUUGUCCUGUUGAGGAGAGUGAAUGAGAGAGCACCUGGGUGGGCAUCUGGCAUUUGGCCAAGGUCAUCCCACCACAGAAGGAAAGAUUUUUGGGGCAUGAAAGAAAAAGACUUUAUAGAGAGCCUACAAUAUCAGGAAAAAACCCGUUCAAGAUACUAACAUUCUUUAGAAAAAAAAAGAGAUCUUAUCCUAGCAAAAAGCCACCUAUCUGCCCUCUUAAAUGUCAUAUAUUUCUAGUCUGCUACUAAGGCGGAACACAUCCUAAAGAUAUUUGGUAUAUUUUUCACUGAGCAGUUAUUCUUUGUUCCAGACCUCAAAUACCAAUAGAAUUAAACAGAAUACAUGCUUAAUAAAAAUCACUAAGUUUAGAUGGAACCAAUGUAUUUAGUUAUAUACAUGAAUUAUUUUGCUUAAAAAGUGUAGCAUAUUUUAAAACAUUUUGUCUUCCUGAAGUUUCCUGUACUUGCAAUGAAGAAUAUAGUACAAUAUAUAUGAUCUUUCCAACCAGAGCUGCUAUGUAAGUGUAGUAAUAAAAGACUGUGCACACAAAAACAGAGACCAUGGGUUUCUGAUAAUUUGUGAGCUUCUGUCUGUGUUUAAUCCUGGUGUAGUUCACCCAAGGGGAAUAAAAGUGACAUAUAAUAUGGGGUGAAAGAGUACAUUUGGUUCAGUGGAGAUUGUCUCAAUAUUUUGCAGUUUGUGAGUUACAUUUCUGGUUAGAAUGAAUGUCUCCUUAAUGUCAAGUUGUUCCCAAGAUAAAAUAUAGAAUCCAUUUCCACCGAGGUACUGCUGCCAGUGUCUCAAUUCUUUCUAAUGUAUAUAUGCGUAAACUUUGCUUUCAAUCCAAAAUGACAAUCUAGAGACUGAAAAACUAAACUAACUUAUCUGUAUGCAUAUACUCAAUAACAUAUUUGCAUUAUUAUUGGAAAAAAUGUUAAUAAGAGAGUUGUUCUGUGUUGGUAAACCUGUGAAGAAGAUACCAAUGUUAUGCAUCUCUGAAAUUUAUUAGACAUAAAAACUUGCAGUGGCUGAAAACAAGGCAGCUAAGUUGAAACUAACAGUAAAACUCCAAACAUUUACAGUUAUAGCAUUUAAUCCCUGGAACAGAUUAAAGAAGAGAUACUUGGAUUUGUCUUUGACACAGAGCCUGUAAAUUGAAAGCGGUGUCUGUCUGAAAGAUAGAGUGUGGUUCCGUCAUGAGCUGAACUAAGCACAGGACACAGGAAUGGCUGAAAUAAGUGACACUUCUUCUGUUGCACAUAAUGUCAGACUACAUUCCCAAAAUGGUUGCUUCAGGUUUAAACAUCUGUGAGUUUCUCUGUAUCUGCCUUGUUCACAUGUGAAGAGAUGAAAUAAUACUGCAUGGUCAAGAAAGGAAAUUCUCUUAGACAUAGCUGUCAGAAAAAUAAUGUUAAAGAAAUUGUGGGAAACUGAUAAGCUCAAACACCACCCUGAAUUUUUAAAGACAUGGGAGAAUGGUUGAGCUACUAAUCUGAUUUAACAUGUAAUUUAGCUUUAUGUUGUUUGCAAGAAGGUUGACUUGUAGUUGUAAAAUGAACUUGCAGAUGUCUGAAAGUUGUUCAAAUAAAUAUGGACAACUAGCUGUCAGAAAAAAAAAACAAAAAACAACCAAACAAAUCAGAAGUCAUGUCUUAAAGGAAGUUAAUUUACUUGCAUGCAUUUCAUGAUUGCUUUUUUUUUUUUUUUUUCCCUGUGUGGUUAGAAUAGCAUGAAGUAAUUUUGCACCAGUUUUGGAUAACUCCACGAAUGCCAUUUUUUAAUGCUCUCAGAUUUAUGGAAAGGUGCAUAUGAUAUGUGUUUUAUUCCAAUCAUCCCUUGAAGAAUCAGAUGAUAGCCCUUAGUUAGAAGUGAAAUACCAGGCUAGAUAUACUGUUCUUGUGUUUGCUAUGCCAAAAUCUUGUGUUUCUAUGGCAACAGAGUUAAUCUAUCCUGUUUCAAUUGGAUGAACCCUGAUAAAUUUUGCUACCCUAAGUAAUCUCAACUGUAGUCCUAGUGACAUUAGAUUGCAUAAAAUAAAUUGUCUGAGUCUAGUCUUUGCCACUGUUUAACCAAGACACAUUAAAAGAAUUUGAGUAAGGUAGAACAGCAAUACCUAUCCAGGACUACAUCCCGAUAAGCAAAAACUGCCUUCUCUAAGUCGUGUUUCCUUAGCUACUGAAGUAACUAAGUCUACACAAUCUGAUUUUCUGCUUUUUAUCUGAUCACCUGCAAUGGAUGCAUUUUGAGACUUAACCUCUUUAAAAAUUUAAAUUUUAGUUGAACCACCUUGCCACAAAAUCUUGCAGAAGUUCAGCUAGGAAGACACUCUCGCAAUAUUCCUAUGCUUGGCUUUCAGCAUCCUGAGUCAGUGAACCCUGUAGAAAAACAGGAUCUUGUAUCCAGCUCCCAUAAAUACCCAGAUACACCAAAUGCUUCAACUCAACCUUGUCUGCUGUGCCAGAAAUGCAGAUAGAAAUAUGGUUUUGAACCAAAUAAAGAUGGCUAUAGAUUGUUAUGUUUAAAAGAAAAAAAAAAAAAGCUUAUUUUUAGUGCAAAGAAACUCAUAUGUCAGUUAAGAAACAGCUGCAUAUCAUGCUUGUCUGCUCUUUGUAUUUGGCCUUAGGCUGUGGCUUCUUAAGGAGUUAGAGACUCAUUCCCUGUGGUAGGCAGUGGAAGACUUAUUUCCUGUGAAGUUUCCUUCUUCAGAUGAACUUAGAAUUAGUAAAGACGUCUCUGCUUCUGUAGUUAUUUCUUUUUUUCCAGACCUGCUCUUGGCCUUCUUCCUCAAAACAAGGCUUAAAACUUAAAAGGGAAUUUACAUAGUUUUCAAGUUUCUUUGUCAAAUGACCCUGGAUGAGUGUCAUCAGUUUAUUAUACUUUUUUUAUAGGUGGUUUGUUACUUCACUUUCCCUUUAAUUCUUCAAAUUUGGAAGUGUAAAGCAGUGAACACAACCUCUUUUGUUCAUAGUUUGUGCCACUUGGUUGAGGAAUCAUGAGAAUUUAGGGACAUCACCUCUGUGAUAGACAUAAAAUUUGUUUUCCAACUAUACUAGAUUCAAGCUCACUCUGGAGGAAAAGGACAACAGAAAGGGGAAAAAAAAAUAUUGAUUUCCAAAACUAAAUUCACAUUCUAACCCAUAUAUAGGCAAAGUCCUAAUGAAACUUCACACAUAUUGCAUGAGAAAGAGGCCUUGAUAUAUGUAAUACUUCAAUAUAAAAGCAAGCAAAAUGCUCCUUAGACCUCAUUUUAAAACUGCAGUUCAAUCAGCAUACUCCAGAUGGCACGCAAUGAUGAUAAAAUUAUGCAUGUGCUACUUUGAGGGAUGGAAUAUGCAAACAGAAGUAGCUUGUUAACACAAAGCCUCUGAAAACCACUUUCAGGACUGACACGGUCCUCUGCACACUCAGAAAAGAAAACCUUUGAUUCUUUAAAACAGAUAGUGUUUGGGAAAACAAACAAAACAACCCCUUCUGUGUUAAUAUCAAUUAUAAUGCAGGAAACACAAAUGUUUGAAGAAUUACUAUCCUUUAUAUGCUAAUAAGUAUUGAAUGGCAGAUGUUUUCCAAGCAGACAUGAUUAAUUCAGCCCUAAGUUACAAAGAACUAUGAGAUAUAUGAAUUUUUAAGACAGAAUAUUAUUUGAAUGUAAUUAGAAGAGAUAUACAAAUAACUUCUUAUAUUAGAGAUGUUACACUACCUUUUCCUCAUUUUAAGAAAAAAAUCCUCCUGAUUAAUUCUAAUUAAAAUGGGUACUGCAAACUGGAGAAGGAAACCAUAUCUGAAUAUUCAUGUGCUUAAAUUUCAAGAAUAAUUCCAUGAGACAUCAUACAUGCCUGUACGUACGACACAAGAUAGAAGACAACUCACUGAUUGCAUUUUAGCAACCGAUCAAACCCCAUAUUGUAUAAAAAUUUUACAGAAUGAAGCUGUAGAAGUUGGUGAGGCUUUUGAAUUGUGAGAUAAAGUCUGUAUUUCAAGUGAAAUACUGAAUUGUAAAGGAUGUUGGUGAUGGUUUUGACUUUGUGCUGGAUGAGGACUAUGUUUUUGAAUAAUUGCAGAAAUAAUACAAAGCAAUUUCUGGAACUUCUACAGUUUCAGUGUUCAUAGAAUUUCUGACAAAACUGCAGUUAUGUUACAGAAAUCCUUCAAAGGGCUUGCAAAUUAGCCUCCUUGCUUUGCUGGCCAAAAGACAACCUUCAGGCCUCAUGAAAAUGGAUUUCCUGAAGCACUGGGCCCAUCUUAGGCUAGGCAAACGGUAAAGGGGUUGUCUAAAAGCAACAGAAAAUGGCACUAGUAGAGCAGCUUUCCCUACAACAACGCUCUGAAGUGUAUUUAUUUUAAAUAGUUUGUUCUGUAUUCUAGGUGGUUUUAGAUAAAAGCCACAGCAAUGCUCUUUGUAAAUGCACAAAUCUAGGUAAGCACCGUAUUGUGCGAGGGGGCAAGGUUUACUUUUUGUAGUUCCACACAUUGAUUCUGAUGAACAUUUCAUGCAAAAGGAGUUUCUGUAGUAGAACAUUUCAGAAUUCAUGAAUAGUAAUUGAGCCCUUUAGUUCUGCACUAAACUUAAAUCCAUUAUUCUCCAUUUAAAGCAGACACAUCAUGUUGCUCUACAGAACACUGCUCUGUCAAUUCAGUGCUUUUUUCAGUGAGCUGGGCUAGAAUAUUAAGCACUCUUUGCUCUCAGUAUUCUUGCUGUGCUUGGCACAUUUGGAUUCCAUUUGAAAUAGGCAAAUAGCAAUUCUGUUGUUCAUAAUGAAUAGCCUAUACGUGUAUAUGCACCUUGCCUUUGAAAAGGGGAGCAUAUAUUAUUUGCCACAUCUUGAAUCUUUGGCAACCAGCCUGCUUCAUUUCCUUUCUCUCUUUCUCUGCACAUAAGCACUGAAAUGUAAAAUGUAAUAAAAGUCUCUGACAGAUUUCUGUCUUCUAUACCAAACAAACCAGUCUGCUUUGGCAUUCAAAGUGUACAUAUUUUUUUCUGUCAUAGAUAAAUUAAAGAAAAGCAUGUAAAAACAAAGAGUUAAGUAAGAAAGAUUCAAGUUUCUAAAAGUCCCCUUCCAUGCUGAACAUUUUCAAGCAUUUGCUAGAAUGUA